GACCGAAGUACAUACGUCCACUUUGACAGAGCGCGCUGAGCACAGAUGUUACAAGCUCGAAAGAAGACAAUCGACUAUCGAGCGGGAAAUCGACGUCAACGCCAUCAUCCAACUUCGCAUCGAUAAAAAACCAUCGAAGAUCGUUGUUCCCGCAUAUCGACUCAACAUUCGAGAGACAGACAACGACUCGGUCAAAAUAAAGCUUUACAGAAGAUAGAAUAAAGAUAUAUUUAAUGAUACAAUAAUGAUGAUAAAACUUUCAAAAUAAGUAAGAGAUUCCUCUUAAAAGAAAGAAAAAAAAAGGGAAAAAAAAAGAAAAAAAAAAAAAAAAAGAAAUAAAGAACAGGAAAUGUGCGCUGCUCGAUUCUUUGCAUUUCUUCUUUCGCACAGUGGCUUUUACACGCGCACAAUUACGAGACAGACGCACAAUUUCCAAAUUAGAAA